rnacentral:lncRNA from 1 species
UUUAAAGAUCCGCUUGUGUUAAUAUGAAAUUUGGCAUAGGUACACAUAGCUCGCAUGUCAAAGAAAAAAAGUGAUAUUGUGCCGAUGUGUGCUUUUGCCUUGGGGGUGAGUACCACCCCUUCUCGGGGAGGGGAGAAAAACCAUAGAAUGGGUGAAAACAAAAAUAUUAUUUUGUCUCCGGUAAACCUAAGCCCGGUCCUGGACUCUAUGAACUUAUUCUUAUUCAAACUAAAGGCCCCGUCUCACCAUCAAAUAAUUGACAGUUAUUUGAUCAAACUUGACAGUUAUUGGGUGCAUUCAGCAGACACAAUCGCUAACUAAUCGAUUAGUGAUUUUCUGCUGAAUGCCACAUAAAUUGUGACCAGUGAUGUCCUCCCACAUCACUGAUUGUGACAUUCAGCAUAUAAAUCACAAAUCGAUUAGUUAGCGAUUGCGUCUGCUGAAUGCACCCAGGUGACACAAAGUGACAGUUAGUAUGUAUAGUUUGUGUCACUAGUCAAGUUUGACUGUCAAGUUUGAUCAAAUAACUGUCAAUUAUUUGAUGGUGAGACGGGGCCUUAAAGCUACUGUCGCAGAAAAUUCCUUUCUGGCGAAUUCAGAAGAAAAAUUGAGUCAACAGAUUAUUAUUUUUUACCUCAUGUCGUUUUUAUUUGGACUAUUAAAGAACAAAUAAAUAGCUAUCAUAUAUUUUCCGUUCUGUUUAUUAAAUUAUUAAUAUUUAAAGAAGUGCAUUUCCGUACAGAAAUCCUAUUGGUGUAUUUUCAGUGAUUUUCGUACUGGAUUCAUCUACUUGGUGGGGAGGUCGUUAAGAAAACAACAAUGUGAAACUAGGUUUAGUAUGAAUCACAGUCAGUCUUGACAGUACCAGGAGCGCCUAAAGAUACAGUGCGGCUCCCUACUUUGCGCAUGCGUCAAAAUAUUUACAACGUUGUCAUGUUGUUUACACAUUGACAUCGCCGGGAAAUUCAAAAUGCUAGCUCGUUGCAAGGAAUCUUUUAUUUUGACAAAUGACAUAAUAUUUUUGUAAUGUAAAUAUAAAAAUAACCUAUAAAAAUAAAAUUCUAUUUUGUUUUACCUGUACCUGUAAAAGGGUAUUAAGAAAAUAUAAGAUCAUUGAAAAGAGUAAAACGUUGAAUUUAAUUAUUUUGUCAGUUAAACAACAACAUACCCAUCAUACAAUAUGGAAGUGCUAUUUUAGGUUUAGAAGUUUUUAAAUACUUUUGCAUAUUAUGGGUAUAUAAAAUGACACCAUUGCAGAAUCUUCAGUCAGACAGUAGUUGAAGUGUUGUAUAAUCAAUGACAAAUUGCCUCAAGAAUUGUUAUAGAAAGAAUAUUUGGUAUUUUAUGCAGAAAAGAUUCCCCAUAUUAGUAUGUGAAAUGAGAUGAAAGUUACCUUUUGUUUGAAGAAUAAUAUCAGCUUGUAUACUUUUACAUAAUAUUGCAGUUGUUAAUAGAGAAAACAUUGAAAUACUGGAAAAGGAGGAUGCUGUUAUUUAAUGGAACAAGCUGUGGCAGUACCUACAUUUUCAACCAGGAGCAAAUCUAGUGUAACUAAAUGUUGUGUGUGUUUGUUUUAAAAGAUUAUUCUCCAUUUAACUCAAGCCUAAAUGGUUCCCACAUAACAAUUUCAUGUUCUUGGUAGAUUUGAUAUUCAAUAUUCGAUAAAUAGACUAUUGAUUAUGUAUUUUAGAAAGGAACUACAAUGUUAACGGGGUUUUAUUGUUUUAUAUAGUCAAUGGACUUUUAAAUAUGAAAAACCCUCGGAGUGCUACCAUUUAAAGGGGUGAAUUAAUCCCUAGGCACAGGACGAAUUAGGGUGAGUUCUAUGCACUUUUGGUCCAAACACAUCUGCAGGAAAAUUGUUCCAGGUUAAAUUUACUAUCCAAACAUCACAUUUUAAAGUUUAAAAUAUCUUUUUUUACAAAAAUAUAUUCAAAAGAAAAGCAAGAAAAAAAACUUCCAUCCUUAUUCUUUAAAAUGACGUUUAGUAGAAGUCUCUAUGAUUUAUGAUUUCCAAAAUAUGAUUUUUCAAACUUGGCCACUCACAGCGAUUUUGGCCCAUUUUCCUUGUUACUUCUCAAACAUUGUUCUGUAACUUUUUUCUAUGUAGCUUUAGGUAUAUGCAAUGUUACAUUUAAUAGGAAAAAAGGUCAAUUACCUUUAGAAAGUUUUAUACUUUUAAUGAUUUUUGAUAUAUUUUACAAUUAUUUUUAAAUUUCUCAUUAUAACUUUUUUUAUUGUAUAUGUAGGUAUAUAAUUGGUAGGUAUAUUAUUGUCUAAUAAAAAAGAAAGCUUAUUUUAUUUACUUUAAAAUGGUGUAUCAUAAAAAAUUCUGGGACUAUUUUUAAACAAGAUAUUAAAAUGUGACAUAUCGAUACAUCAAAGCAACAGUGAGAUAAGUCCAAAAUUUCAAUUUUUUUUAAGUACGCUAUUUACAUAGAAUGUAUUGCACUCUAUACUGGUAACACUGAGAUAUGUAUAUCUCAGUUAUCAGAGAUACAUAUCUCAGUGUUACCAGUAAUAGAGUAUAGAGUGCAAUACAUUCUAUGUAAAUAGCGUACUUAAAAAAAAUUGAAAUUUUCUACUUAUCUCACUGUUGCUUUGAGGUAUCGAUAUGUAUACACAUGCAAUAGGUCCCACUAAGUUGGAACCCUAUGGAAAACUUUUUUAUUAUUAACUUUAUGAAAAAAACUUAUGAUAUAAUAUGCAAUCAUAUUUUUCUAAUUGAAAAAAAUUUAAAAUUUUUCUCAAAUUACGGAUACUCUUGGAUAUCAUACGGAUAUCGUGUUUAAAAAUUGUCCUAGAAUUUUUUGCAAUACACCAUUUUAAAGUAAAGAAAAUAAGCUUUUUUAUUCCACAAUGUAUAUACUUAAACGUACAAGAAAAAAAGUCAUAAUGAGAAAUUUGAAAAAGCAUAACUUGCUUAGAAAGAGCUGUAUAAACAACCUUAUACAAUAGACUAUUUUAAAGGUAAUUAAUUUCUCUUUCUACUAUUGCAUAUACAUAGAAAUGUGCACGAAAUAGUUACAGAACAAUGUUUGCGAAAUAAUGGGGAAAAUUGCCCAAAAAUGCUGUGAGCGGCAAACUUAGAAAAAUCCUAUUUCGGAAACUAUAAAGCUUAGAGAAUUUUACCAAACUUCAUUUUAAAGAGGAAGGAUGGAAGUUAUUUUUUGCUAAAGCAAUGCCUAUACCUAUAUCCCCGUGGAAAAUAGUUAUGGGGCUAAAAACAAAAUUGCUUUCUUUCGUGUUUUUUUCUUGCUUUUAUUUUGAAUAUAAUAUUUUUGUAAAAAAAAUAUUUUUGACUUUAAAAUGUGAUGUUUGGAUAGUAAAUUUAACCUGGAACAAUUUUCCUGUAGAUGUGUUUAUAUCAAAAGUGCAUAGAACUCACCCUAAUUCACCCUGUGACUAGGGACUAAUCCACCCCUUUCUCAAAAACGCACCCAUUUCAAUGGUAGCACUCCAUGGUUUUUUCUAAUUUAGAGACAGAUAUGAGACAAUAAAAUUCCGUUAACGUUGUAGUUCCUUUUAGUUCUCUUAUUUUGAACAUAAUCAAUAGCCUAAAAGGUUUAUUCCAAGAAUAAACUUUUACGAAUAUUCUAAGUAACUACAUACAUGAAUGUGCUCAGUAUAUUUGGUCCGAGAAUAUUCUUCGAAGUAUAUGCAAAAAACAUGAAAUUUAGAAUGUUUUUAUAGUACAUGCUAUGCUUCUACUACACACAUACUAAAAAGAAUAUAUUCCGACGAAUGUUGGUAUCGAACAUGAAAGGAAAAUCAUUGUUAUGUAGUAUAAUGUUGAUAAUAUUAUUUUUAUUGGACUGCAGUUUGUUAAUAAAUUUAUAAAUUAAUAGGUAUAUUAUAUUGGUGACUGAUUUGAUUUUAAGUAUUUUAUUAUUAUUAGCAAUUUAUAAAUACAUGAUAUUGGUGUUUGA